rnacentral:rRNA from 1 species
AGCGAACGCUGGCGGCAGGCCUAACACAUGCAAGUCGAACGAACCCUUCGGGGUUAGUGGCGGACGGGUGAGUAACACGUGGGAACGUGCCUUUAGGUUCGGAAUAACUCAGGGAAACUUGUGCUAAUACCGAAUGUGCCCUUCGGGGGAAAGAUUUAUCGCCUUUAGAGCGGCCCGCGUCUGAUUAGCUAGUUGGUGAGGUAAUGGCUCACCAAGGCUACGAUCAGUAGCUGGUCUGAGAGGAUGACCAGCCACAUUGGGACUGAGAACACGGCCCAAACUCCUACGGGAGGCAGCAGUGGGGAAUCUUGCGCAAUGGGCGAAAGCCUGACGCAGCCAUGCCGCGUGGAUGAUGAAGGUCUUAGGAUUGUAAAAUCCUUUCACCGGUGAAGAUAAUGACUGUAGCCGGAGAAGAAGCCCCGGCUAACUUCGUGCCAGCCGCCGCAGUAACAC